CCGACGGUGAGGGGUGAAGGCUGGGGGCGCAAACCGGAUUAGAUACCCGGGUAGUCCCAGCAGUAAACGAUGCCAGCUAUGUGUUGCUGGAACCAUGGGUUCCAGCAGUGCCGAAGGGAAGCCGUGAAGCUGGCCACCUGGGAAGUACGGUCGCAAUGCUGAAACUUAAAGGAAUUGGCGGGGGAGUACCACAACCGGUGGAGCCUGCGGUUUAAUUGGAUACAACGCCGGGAAUCUUACCGGAGGGGACAGCAGUAUGAAGGCCAGGCUAAAGACCUUGCCAGAUCAGCUGAGAGGAGGUGCAUGGCCGUCGCCAGUUCGUACCGUGAGGCAUCCUGUUUAGUCAGGCAACGAUCGAGACCCGCAGUCUUAUUUGCCAGCAUGCCCUUUGGGGUGUAUGGGUACAAUAAGACGACCGCCAGCGCUAAGCUGGAGGAAGGAGCGGGCUACGGUAGGUCAGCAUGCCCCGAAUCCUCCGGGAUACACGCGGGCUACAAUGUGCAGGACAAAAGGUACCGGACCUCGAAAGAGUGAGGUAAUCCACAAACCUGAUCUCAGUCCGGAUCGAAGGCUGCAACUCGCCUUCGUGAAGAUGGAAUCGGUAGUAAUCGUGACUCAAAAUGUCACGGUGAAUAUGUCCCUGCUCCUUGCACACACCGGCC
rnacentral:rRNA from 1 species